UGCCAGACUCCUACGGGAGGCAGCAGUGGGGAAUAUUGCACAAUGGGGGAAACCCUGAUGCAGCGACGCCGCGUGAGUGAAGAAGUAUUUCGGUAUGUAAAGCUCUAUCAGCAGGGAAGAAAAUGACGGUACCUGACUAAGAAGCCCCGGCUAACUACGUGCCAGCAGCCGCGGUAAUACGUAGGGGGCAAGCGUUAUCCGGAUUUACUGGGUGUAAAGGGAGCGUAGACGGCGAUGCAAGCCAGAUGUGAAAGCCCGGGGCUCAACCCCGGGACUGCAUUUGGAACUGUGUGGCUGGAGUGUCGGAGAGGCAGGCGGAAUUCCUAGUGUAGCGGUGAAAUGCGUAGAUAUUAGGAGGAACACCAGUGGCGAAGGCGGCCUGCUGGACGAUGACUGACGUUGAGGCUCGAAAGCGUGGGGAGCAAACAGGAUUAGAUACCCCAGUAAUA
rnacentral:rRNA from 1 species